UGCUAUGGCCAUGUCACCCUGAACAAGCCCGAUGCUGUCUGAUCUAGGAAGCUAAGCAGAGUUGGGCCUGGUUAGUACUUGGAUGGGAGACCACCUAGGAAGACCAGGUGCUGUAGGUG
rnacentral:rRNA from 1 species